AUUGAACGCUGGCGGAAUGCUUUACACAUGCAAGUCGAACGGCAGCACGGACUUCGGUCUGGUGGCGAGUGGCGAACGGGUGAGUAACAUAUCGGAACGUAUCCAAUAAUGGGGGAUAACGAGUCGAAAGAUUCGCUAAUACCGCAUACGCCCUACGGGGGAAAGCUGGGGACCUUCGGGCCUGGCGUUGAUGGAGCGGCCGAUAUCUGAUUAGCUAGUUGGUGAGGUAAAGGCCCACCAAGGCGACGAUCAGUAGCUGGUCUGAGAGGACGACCAGCCACACUGGGACUGAGACACGGUCCAGACUCCGACGGGAGGCAGCAGUGGGGAAUUUUGGACAAUGGGCGCAAGCCUGAUCCAGCCAUUCCGCGUGAGUGAAGAAGGCCUUCGGGUUGUAAAGCUCUUUCGCAAGGGAAGAAAACUUAGCCACUAACAUUGGUUGAGGUUGACGGUACCUUGAUAAGAAGCACCGGCUAACUACGUGCCAGCCGCCGCCGUAA
rnacentral:rRNA from 1 species